rnacentral:rRNA from 1 species
UACGUAGGGUGCAAGCGUUGUCCGGAAUUAUUGGGCGUAAAGCGCACGUAGGCGGAUCUUUAAGUCAGAGGUGAAAUCCCAAGGCUCAACCUUGGGACUGCCUUUGAUACUGGAGAUCUUGAGUCCGGGAGAGGUGAGUGGAACUGCGAGUGUAGAGGUGAAAUUCGUAGAUAUUCGCAAGAACACCAGUGGCGAAGGCGGCUCACUGGCCCGGUACUGACGCUGAGGUGCGAAAGCGUGGGGAGCAAACAGG